AUCCCCAGUGGUGCCAGUCCCUGGUGUUGGACAGGUGGGGCAGGGGCUGCAGAACAGCUGGGGACUGGAGGAGGAUGAUGAAGAUGACUAUGAAGAGGAAAAAAAUCACAACAGUGGUGACGAGCAAGUGGAAGAAGUGACAAAGAUGGACGUGGGCGAAGGAGAUGUGGUUGAGAUAUCAGACAGUGAAGAGGAGGAUGUGGUCAUACUAAACCCUGAGGUGCCAGAAAAACCAAAAAAUACAGGCUCCAAGUCUCACCAGAAGGGGGCAGCAGCAUCCAAGAAACGGCAAAAAAAAUGAGGAACUACUGCAGAUGGGGAUUUGUUCCAAAAUGUCAAAACGUUUUAUUAUAAACACUGAGCUGGAUUUCAACGAGUCCCACCUGAAGUGACUGCAGCUCAGAAACAAAACAUUAACUUGAUGUUUGUAACUGUUUCAAACAAAUGUACAAAAAGGGAAAAUGUUAAAAGAUAGUUCAUCUGUGCACACCAGACUUUUAUAUUUCAGUUUGUUUGCAGGGAUGUAUUUCCUACGUCGAUUUCAAAUAAAAUUAAAUAGCUUUUUUUCUAA